rnacentral:rRNA from 1 species
UACGGAGGGGGCUAGCGUUGUUCGGAAUUACUGGGCGUAAAGCGCACGUAGGCGGCUUUGUAAGUUAGAGGUGAAAGCCCGGGGCUCAACUCCGGAACUGCCUUUAAGACUGCAUCGCUAGAAUUGUGGAGAGGUAAGUGGAAUUCCGAGUGUAGAGGUGAAAUUCGUAGAUAUUCGGAAGAACACCGGUGGCGAAGGCGGUGGUCUGGGCCUGAACUGACGCUGAGGAGCGAAAGCCAGGGGAGCAAACGGG